AGAUCUACAAAAACAAGAUAGUUAAGAAAAGAAUAAUCUACGAAAGUGAUAAGAAAUAUAAGGAUACGUUUGAAAUGAACAAACUUUAGUGUCUUUGAAUAUUAAGAACAAUGCGUUUCCGUUUACUUGUUCUUAUAUUCUUGGUGAUUUGCCUAUAUUACAAUGUUCAAGGGCGAGAUAUUCAUCAAUAUCAAAAAAAAGCUUCUAUAUAUAAAAUACCAAAGAAAACAGAUAUCGUUUAUACGUCUAUUGUAAAUGUUCCCUGUAAGCAUGGUUCUAUACGAAUCGGAAAUAUAUGCAAACCAUUAAGAAAGUCUGCACGAAGAUCAAGCGGAAAAACUAAACGUAGACGCCAAAGAAAACAUCAUUAAUGAACAAUAAUUUUGUUGAAUGCAACUAUAAUAUCAAUAGAAUGUAGCUUUCAGACUAAAAUUGUGUUUUUAAAAAUGAAAUAUCCAUAUAAAAAAUGUUAGUCAAUUUUAUCCAAAUACAAUGACGUCCGAAAUGAA